rnacentral:rRNA from 1 species
AUGCUCCGCGUCUUCAGUUGCCUUUGCUACCCGAACACUGCCUCCACGGCGUGCCACAAUCUUGAUUUUUGCUCUGCAGCAUGCGUUUUCCUCGGCUAUCCUGCCGAUCAUCGCGGGUACCAUUCCUUCAACCUUGCGUCCAAGUGGGUUCUCACCUCACGACAUGUCUAUUUUCAUGAGGAUGUUUUCCCUUUCGCAUGCGAUGCUACCCCUACGCCGCCGGCUCCGCCAUCCCUGGGCGCUCCGCCUAUUCUACAGGUUCUUCGCCCGGGGCUCAGCUCUUCUUCAUUAUGCAUCUGUCCAGCUGCGGGCACUGGAUCGGGCUUGGCCUGCUCCCCUGACGCCGUUGGAUCCGCUAUGGGCGGCUCCGAUGCCUCCGCGCCCAGCGCGCGCUCCAUCGGUUCAAGCUCCACCGUUGGAUCUGCGGCGGGUGGAUCUGACGCCUCCAUGUCUAGCGCACGCUCCACUGGUUCGAGCUCCACCACCCAUUCCGCAUCGUACGGCGCUGGCUCUUCGUCAGCAUCCAGCGGGGGCGCUCCGCGCGCCGCGCCUGCUGCCCCGACACGCAUGGUGACACGAGCUCAGGCCGUCACUUUCCGGCAGAAUCCCAAGUACUACACCGCCACUGCAUCGCCAACGACUGCGCUCUCUCCAUUGCCGAGCUCCAUGCGGGUCGCCGUGUGCGAUUCAAACUGGCUUGCCACCAUGCGCGACGAGUUCGCCGCGCUCGUCUCCAACCGCACUUGCGAGCUGGUCCCGCGGCCGCUGGGCGCCAAUCUGGUCACUGGUAAGUGGGUCUUCAAGCACAAAUUUCGCCUGGAUGGUUCCCUCGAGCGCUACAAGGCGCGGUGGGUCGUCCGCGGCUUUCAUCAGCGCGCCGGCUUCGACUACAGCGAGGCGUUCUCUCCAGUGGUCAAGCCGGCCACCAUCCGCGCCGUCCUCACCAUUGCUACCUCGCGGCGGUGGUCCGUUCACCAACUGGACGUCAAGAAUGCGUUCCUGCACGGAACGCUCGCGGAGGAGGUCUACUGUCUUCAGCCCGCCGGCUUCGUCGACGAACAACAGCCACACCCCAUAUGUCGUCUGAACAAGUCGUUGUACGACCUCAAACAGGCUCGCGUGCGUGGUUCUAGACGUUCUCUGGCUUCGUCAAGACGCUGGGCUUCUCGGCGAACCGGUCUGACUCCUCCCUGUUCACCUAUGCCAGCGGGGACGAUGCCGCGUUCCUGCUCCUCUACGUCGACGACAUCAUCCUCACUGCCUCAUCCCCGACUCUUCUCCAGCGCAUCAUUCUCUGGCUCACCAGCGAAUUCUCCAUGA